GAUGAGCGCUGGCUACAGGCUUAACACAUGCAAGUCGAGGGGAAACGACGGGGAAGCUUGCUUCCCCGGGCGUCGACCGGCGCACGGGUGAGUAACGCGUAUCCAACCUGCCUCUGACUGAGGGAUAACCCGUCGAAAGUCGGCCUAAUACCUCAUGGCAUCGUCUGCGGGCAUCCAACGACGAUUAAAGAUUUCAUCGGUCAGAGAUGGGGAUGCGUCUGAUUAGCUUGUUGGCGGGGUAACGGCCCACCAAGGCGACGAUCAGUAGGGGUUCUGAGAGGAAGGUCCCCCACAUUGGAACUGAGACACGGUCCAAACUCCUACGGGAGGCAGCAGUGAGGAAUAUUGGUCAAUGGGCGAGAGCCUGAACCAGCCAAGUAGCGUGCAGGAUGACGGCCCUAUGGGUUGUAAACUGCUUUUAGGCGGGGAUAAAGUGAGGGACGUGUCCUUCAUUGCAGGUACCGCAUGAAUAAGGACCGGCUAAUUCCGUG
rnacentral:rRNA from 1 species